rnacentral:lncRNA from 1 species
CUUGAUGGUAGGAGGUGGGCACCAGCGUGACAGGAAGGAAAUCUAUAGCCCAUCCAGUUACCAGAUAUGUAACUUUCCGUGCCAUACAUCAACCCUUCUUCAUCCUUCAUUGCUCUCAGGUUGGCAUGUCGGUUAAACCAAAUGCAGCCCAGCACAAAGGUUCUUACCUGCCAACUGCUGUCAGCGUCAUCUGGUGACCCUUCCUACAAACAGACCAUCUGACCUAGGGAUGAUCACACCGAACAGAUUGGGAACCAGUAAAAAGGAAGUCGUGGGAGAAGCAAAGGUGCUGACAGACAGAAGAAGAGUUAGGCCACCUCAAGCCUGGAGUGACGCCGUGGGACUUGAAGAGGCUCUGCGUGAUUGCCCGAAAUGUACCUCAUAAACUCAGCAUGCAUAUUUGAAUUGGCUUUUCUAGGUUAUUUUGUGGUGAAUGCACCACAAAAGGAGAUUUCUCCUAUUAUUUAUUAGG